UACAGAGACUGCAAGCGUUAUUCGGAUUCACUGGGCGUAAAGGGUGCGCAGGCGGCCAAGUGUGUGGAGUGUGAAAGCUCGAAGCUUAACUUCGAAACAGCACCCCAAACUACUUGGCUAGAGCAUUGGAGAGAGUAGCAGAAUUCACGGUGUAGCAGUGAAAUGCGUAGAUAUCGUGAGGAAUACCAGAGGCGAAGGCGGCUACUUGGACAAUUGCUGACGCUCAGGCACGAAAGCGUGGGGAGCAAAAGGG
rnacentral:rRNA from 1 species